AGAAUCAACGCUGGCGGCGUGCCUAACACAUGCAAGUCGAACGCGAAAGUCCCGAAAGGGAUUAGUAGAGUGGCAAACGGGUGAGUAACACGUGGGUGACCUGCCUUCGAGUGGGGGAUAACGUCCCGAAAGGGACGCUAAUACCGCAUGACAUCCUGCCUUUGAAGAGGUGGAGAUCAAAGCUGGGGAUCGCAAGACCUAGCGCUCAAAGAGGGGCCCGCGCCUGAUUAGCUAGUGGCGAGGUAACGCUCACCAAGGCAACGAUCAGUA
rnacentral:rRNA from 1 species